GACUUCCUCUCACUGGCAAGAACAGCAGCCACCCAGAGUCACUGAUUGCUAUUCAUCUGUCACCAAGGAAAAAUCUCUCUUCUUCCCCCCCCCCCCAAACACACACACAAACACACACACACACACACACACACACACACACUCACACAUUUAUGCACACACCAUAGAAUUACAUUUGCACCUGUAGGGUUUCUCUUGAAGAAAUCCAAACCCAUCCACUUUCACAGGACCCCCCCCCCCCCCAUCCCUUUCUUUUUUUCUUUGCUAUUUUGGGCUUAAGGCCAUCUGGUUUAGGAGACAGGCUCUUCACUCUGAGGCCGCUAAUGAAUCUGACUCUUCCUGUCUAACUCCUCAAUAUCGUUUGCUUCCUAAACACUAAACGCGAGCUGUGUUUCCUUUCUCCUCUUCUUCAAGCACACAUGUUCAUUACCUGGAACUUUGGGGGGCCGUGCAUUUGUUGCUGUCCAGCAUCGGAUUUCAUUUUUAGCUCUCUGAGAACCUCAGAUGGCUGCACUGAUGAGACCUCCAGUGGCCUGAGAGAUACCAAGCCGUGUCCCCUCACACAGGUGCCACUCACAGGACAGAGGAGUCUGGAUGUGAUGGGGGAGAGACAGAAACCAGCACUCGGUAUCUUCGCUGAGAAGUGGAGAGCAGUAUCUGGCUCCGAGUGUUGAACGGCUCAUUGCCUCUGCUGUUCCUGUCUUCCUUCAUGUUAAGAAAACAGAAGAUGCAGUCAAACUUUGAGUUAAUGGGUCUGCUCCAUUCAUUAUUUACCCAGGGUGGUGCUUUAUCACAGAGGCUCCUAAGUGUUUGACAAAGAAGGCAUCUCAUUAGCGCCUGGGAGGUUAUGGGUUGGCCAGAUGGUGGCUGUUUUCUUCUUUUCCUGGAGAGAGGCACAAGUGUCUCAGACUGUGUGGCAGCGGUUUCAGUUCUGAGGAUCCUAGCAAGCAAGUCACGUGCCUUCCUUCCUGAGUCCUGCCUUACACUUUGGUAAACGUAAAAAGCAAACACUUUCCAGUCUCUUGCUGGCAUGUAGGUGCUGCAGAGAUGGUGUUUAUGUGCGACAGAGUCCUACAGAAACAAGGGAAGAGUAGCUCCCAGGUGCAGCUAGUAUCCUUGACCUAGUAGCUAUUCUCAGCCCUGGGCAUACUGACAAAGGAGGUGGGGAGGGGUGACUCAUCACCUUUGAUUCUUAGCUAGUGGCAUAUGUAUGUAUGUAUGUAUGUAUGUAUGUAUGUAUGUAUAUAUGUAUAUAUGUAUGUAUAUAUGUAUGCAUGUAUAUGUGUACAUAUAUAUAUAUACACACAUACAUAUAUAUGUUAUUCAGUAUCAGAAAACUAGUUAAAUGUAGGUCUUUUAGGUCUUUCCCCUUCUAAGAACCAGGGGCAAAGAGAACCAUACCCUAAUUAAUUAAUACAGGAAUAGGAAAAGUUUUAUUAUGGUAUACAAUGAAUGAGGAGCUGGUUCACAUCUUUUAUGCUGAACAAAAUCUAGUAAUUCCAACGAUAACACUAAUCAUCACAGAGCAGCAAGGGCUGUUUACUUAGUACUUCUGCAUGUCUCUGUUGAACUUGAUGCUGGAUGAGCACCAGCUAGUUUAGUCACCAGGCCAGUCUUAAGAGGUUUUCAUGUAGCAUAAAUUAAGCACCCAGUCCACAUCAUUUUAGGCAGUUAGGAUGGGUCUGGGAACGAGACAGCAGUGGAUAACAGGCAGUUGUCGUAGUAAAUAAAUUAUAUAGAAUACUAGAACGUGAUAAGUGCCAGGAAAAAAGAAAGAAUAGGAAAAUAUUUGGGGUGAGCAAACGAUAAGUUAAGCAGUCAUGAAGGGGGUGGUAGCACAUCAGAGACUUUGAGGAGAUCAAGGAGGGAGAUGGAAGCAAAGGCAGAGCUAGUCAAAGGCCGAGAUGCGAGGUGGCAGAGCGCUAGAUGCUUUUGGGGAGCAGUUGGGUGGAAUGCUCUGUUGAGUGGACCAGGAGAUGAGAUGAGGGAGGCACUGGGGCAGGGGCGGGGGGAGAAUUACGGAGAGGGGAGCAACGGAAGGGUUUUGAGCAAAAGGAAAAGAUCUGGCUUACUCUGGCAGCCGUGGCGAAAUAAGCAGUGUAUUAUUCCUAUUGUAUGUUACAUCCUGGGUCGGGUUAUCGUUCCAAAGUAACAGCUAGUUAGCGGCAGAGUGAGACAGUCUCCUACGUAACUUUAGACCUCAUGGCUUUGAGUGCACUAUUGUCUCUGUGAUAUGAUCAAAACCACUCUUCCUGCAAACAGAUGAUUGUCCUACUUUCAACCUGCUUCUCCUGCGGCCGAUCUACCAUGCAGGGAUGGGGUAAGCUAGAGGUUUGAUCUCGUGCUAUCAGUGAAUCUCUUUGCCGGCUUGCUUAUUUGCAGACUGGUCUCACUGUGAGACCAAAUGCUUUGUGAUUCCAGCUUUGCUUUCCAUUGCCCCAUAAAGGAGCGGGGACACAGGGAAAACCCCAUUUCCCCUCUGGGCCCUUUUUGGGAUGGAGACUGAUGUCAGGCAUUGGGCACUCUCAACACCAUCUUCAAUGGCCUAGGGAGUUGAUGGCAGAGAGAUCAUGGCUACUCUGUGGGAAACAGGGCUCUAUUUCAUUUCUUCUCCCAGAGUUAACACUCCUCUCUCAGCGGGGGCUCCUUUAAUGAAUCAAUUAAGGAGGGUAUUAUUAUUGGAAGCUGUUUUCAGCCCAAUUAAGACCUUUUGGCAUGUCAGUAACGAUAAUAAAAGUGAGUUAAGUCUCAAUUUUUCUUUAUUAGGAUGUUUAUUAGAAGAUUGAAAUGUUCAUUAGGUGAAGAAAAGUGAUAACAUUCAUCUUUGCUCAUCAGAAGCACAAUGGAACCUCAGUUACACUCAGUGUUACUGUGGUUGUGUGUGUGUCUCUGAGUGUGUGUGUGCGUGUGUACAUGGGUGUGCAUGUGCAUCUGUGUCUGUGUGCGUGUACAUGCAUAUGUGUUUCUGGGUUUUAACUCUACUUUGGCUCCAUAGAAAAACAAUUUUGGAGUCAUAAUUAAUUAAUUAAUUAAUUAGGCUGAAGAAUUCAAUGUUGACCACGUCUCUUGCUUUGGAGUGAGAUGCAAGGCCAAUGUCCAAAUCAGGGAGGAGCCAAGUCUGGAAGGUUUGGGAGCACAGGGGCUUAUUUUAGACCAGUUUCGGAAAUUCGUAAUUUUGGACCAAAAAUAACAUGUAGAAAAGUAGAAGAAGGAAAUUAUUUAAACUUUAGCAUUUUCCUCAUAUUUAUCCCCCUUCUUUUAAAAACGGAGCCAUUCUGGAUUCAGCUGAGGCGUCUCAUGGAAGCCUUCCUGAUUUUAUUUCCUGGUCCUUCAUAUUCUCGUUUCCAAGGAUUUUUUAUGCUUACAAAUCUGGUAUUUAUCAUACCUUACAGGCUUUUUUGCCAUUGCCGUGCGGUUCUGGUGUGUGUUCCUUCAUAAGAAUGUGAAGCAUUGUUUUGCUUCCUUUCUGUCUUGACACAUAUAUGUGAGCUUAUUUUCCUUAUUGUAUAAUAGUUCUCUGAAUUUCUAUUGACCUCAAUUAAUUUAACUCAGCACUGUACUUCUGAACACGUUGCUAACUUUUAAAAUCAUAAAUCACACUGCAGUGUACAUUCUGAGCCAUGUAUCCCCAUGUAUGAAUGCAAAUGUUUCUCUAGACUCGAGUUAUCACGUCUUAAAACAAGGUGGAAAUGGAUUUUACAUAGCAUUUCUUGCAUAAGUCAUUCAUAUUCCCAAAUAAAAGUUUUAUGAAGUAA